GCUGAAAUAGCUCUGUUGGGAGAGUGUUAGACUGAAGAUCUAAAGGUCCCUGGUUCAGUCCCAGGUUUCGGCA
rfam:TPA: Bos taurus chromosome 13, whole genome shotgun sequence.